rnacentral:rRNA from 1 species
GAUGAACGCCGGCGGCGUGCCUAAUACAUGCAAGUCGAGCGAACAGACGAGGAGCUUGCUCCUUCGACGUUAGCGGCGGACGGGUGAGUAACACGUAGGUAACCUACCUAUAAGACUGGGAUAACUUCGGGAAACCGGAGCUAAUACCGGAUAAUAUUUCGAACCGCAUGGUUCGAUAGUGAAAGAUGGCUUUGCUAUCACUUAUAGAUGGACCUGCGCCGUAUUAGCUAGUUGGUAAGGUAACGGCUUACCAAGGCAACGAUACGUAGCCGACCUGAGAGGGUGAUCGGCCACACUGGAACUGAGACACGGUCCAGACUCCUACGGGAGGCAGCAGUAGGGAAUCUUCCGCAAUGGGCGAAAGCCUGACGGAGCAACGCCGCGUGAGUGAUGAAGGUCUUCGGAUCGUAAAACUCUGUUAUUAGGGAAGAACAAACGUGUAAGUAACUGUGCACGUCUUGACGGUACCUAAUCAGAAAGCCACGGCUAACUACGUG